rnacentral:tRNA from 1 species
ACCUAAAUAGCCCAGUAGGAAGAGCGUUAGACUAUAAAUCAAAAGGCCCGUGGUUCGAUCCUGGGAUUCGGCA